CAGCAGCCACGGUAAUACGUAGGGUGCGAGCGUUAAUCGGAAUUACUGGGCGUAAAGCGUGCGCAGGCGGUUUUGUAAGACAGGCGUGAAAUCCCCGGGCUCAACCUGGGAAUGGCGCUUGUGACUGCAAAGCUAGAGUGCGGCAGAGGGGGAUGGAAUUCCGCGUGUAGCAGUGAAAUGCGUAGAUAUGCGGAGGAACACCGAUGGCGAAAGCACUCUGCUGGGCCGACACUGACACUGAGAGACGAAAGCUAGGGGAGCAAAUGGGAUUAGAUACCCCCGUAGUCCCUGUCUCUUAUAC
rnacentral:rRNA from 1 species